rnacentral:tRNA from 1 species
GGGGAUUUAGCUCAGUGGUAGAGCACUUUCCUAGAAAGUGCAAGGCCCUGGGUUCAGUCCCCA